AUUGAACGCUAGCGGGAUGCUUUACACGUGCAAGUCGAACGGCAGCACGAAAAGAGCUUGCUCUUUUUGGUGGCGAGUGGCGAACGGGUGAGUAAUGUAUCGGAACGUACCCAGUAGCGGGGGAUAACUACGCGAAAGCGUGGCUAAUACCGCAUACGCCCUACGGGGGAAAGGGGGGGAUCGCAAGACCUCUCACUAUUGGAGCGGCCGAUAUCGGAUUAGCUAGUUGGUGGGGUAAAGGCUCACCAAGGCAACGAUCCGUAGCUGGUUUGAGAGGACGACCAGCCACACUGGGACUGAGACACGGCCCAGACUCCUACGGGAGGCAGCAGUGGGGAAUUUUGGACAAUGGGGGAAACCCUGAUCCAGCCAUCCCGCGUGUGCGAUGAAGGCCUUCGGGUUGUAAAGCACUUUUGGCAGGGAAGAAACGGCGCUGACUAAUACUUGGCGCAACUGACGGUACCUGCAGAAUAAGCACCGGCUAACUACGUG
rnacentral:rRNA from 1 species